rnacentral:precursor_RNA from 15 species
UUGAUUUUCCAUAAUUUUGGUUUUAUUUUUCCGAUGUUACGACGGCUUUACAUGAAAUUUGAAUCAUAAAGCUGUCAGUAACGUGGACAAAUAUUACUUCAAACAUCCAAAAAAUUCC